rnacentral:rRNA from 1 species
ACGAACGCUGGCGGCGCGCUUAACACAUGCAAGUCGAACGGAAAGGCCUGCUUUCCCUUGUGGAUUGUGGGUACUCGAGUGGCGAACGGGUGAGUAACACGUGAGUGAUCUGCCCCCAACUUGGGUAUAAGCCUGGGAAACUGGGUCUAAUUCCCGAUAGGACUGCAGGGUGGUGCCUGUGGUGGAAAACGAUUUUCUAGUGGUUGGGGAUGAGCUCGCGGCCUAUCAGCUUGUUGGUGGGGUAAUGGCCUACCAAGGCGGCGACGGGUAGCCGGCCUGAGAGGGCGGACGGCCACAUUGGGACUGAGAUACGGCCCAGACUCCUACGGGAGGCAGCAGUGGGGAAUAUUGCACAAUGGGCGGAAGCCUGAUGCAGCGACGCCGCGUGGGGGAUGACGGCCUUCGGGUUGUAAACUCCUUUCGACCGCGAGGAAGCCACCUGGUUGGAAGGGUGGUGACGGUAGUGGUAGAAGAAGCACCGGCUAACUACGUG